ACAUGCCUGUAUCCCAGGCAUGGCAUGCACCUGUAGUCCCAGUUCAAAUUCCUUCUUACUGAAGUACAUCCUUGAAUAGCUAUUUCAUUAAGGAUUUGGGAAUAUUAAAGCAUCUCAGUCUCUGACUGAAAGUAUCUUUAAUUCACUCUUGGUCUUGAAUAAUAAUUUUUCUAGGUAUAGAAUUUUACAUAGAUAUCUUCCCUCAGCAUUUGAGUAUAUUAUUUCAUUACCUUUUGAUUUGUGUAAUUGAUAAGGUGUAGUCUGCUUCAGGCUGUCAUUUAUUUAGAGGGUUCUCUCUCUCUCUCUCAUAUUGCUUUAAAAUUUUUUUUUGUUUUUAUCUUUGGUGAUCUGCGGUUUCACCACAAUCCUGCUUGGGAUUCAAGACUAAGAAUUCCUGACAUUCACCGAUUCUGAAAAAUUUUGUCCUAGUCUCUGAAUAUUUUCUCUCCUCAGUCCUCUAUUUAUCUAUCUGAGUCCUCUUUUAUAUGUAUAUUGGACCUUGUUAUUCUCUU
rnacentral:lncRNA from 1 species